rnacentral:rRNA from 1 species
CAACGAAUAUUCCGCAAUGGGCGCAAGCCUGACGGAGCGACGCCGCGUGAAGGAUGAAGUCCUUCGGGAUGUAAACUUCAAUAGUUUGUCAGGAAGCAAUCCGGGCUAAUACCCCGGUGCGUUGACCAGCAGAUGAAAGGGACGGCUAACUCCGUGCCAGCAGCCGCGGUAAGACGGAGGUCCCUAGCGUUGUUAGGAAUCAAUGGGCUUAAAGCGCGUGUAGGCGGAAGGGAUAGUACCUUGUGAAAUCCCCGGGCUCAACCCGGGAAUGGCUGGGUAUACUGCCCGUCUUGAGGCAGGUAGGGGUCACUGGAACCUUAGGUGGAGCGGUGAAAUGCGUAGAUAUCUAAGGGAACGCCUGUGGCGAAAGCGGGUGACUGGGCCUGUCCUGACGCUGAGACGCGAAAGCGUAGGGAGCAAACG